rnacentral:lncRNA from 10 species
UGUUGUAUUUCCAGCAGUUCAAAUCUAAUUGUGUCGAAUUUCCAGGAUUGGAGGAAAAGUUGCUCCCUUUCAGCCCUCCUACUAGAAGCACUGGAGCUAGGCUGUGAAGAGCGACUGGGUGGAAGCAGCCCCAGAAGAACCCGUGUGAACAUACUGUCCUUUGGCCGCCUGGCAGUUAGCCUAGAAGACAAAUAUGAGAGAGGAGACUGGUUAGAGUAAAUGUGACCCCACCUUGACCCUGUCUGCCUCUCAUGGGAAACCAGUCAAACCUUCACUCAGAUUUUCUUCUUUUUACAGCAAUGUUGCUGAAUAUUGCUGGGGAUACCAUCCCCUUCUAUAAAGUAUCUCCCCUUUUUAUCCCAGUUUUCUGAGCAUUUCUUUGGUAAGCUUGAGGUUUGUGUCAGUUACUGGGGAAAUCUCUGUUCAGUACCAACAAUAUUGCAGCAACAGUACUAGAAACUAAAGUUGAAAAAUUUCUCACUAGUAUAGUACACUAUACCAAAAGAAAAACAUGUUUAUUUUAAAAACAUUUCCAUUUUCUACCUAUAUUGGUCUAGAAGAAUAUGUAAUUUUUAUUUAGUUAUUGUAGUAUCAUUUGCUUUCCUGUAUACAUUCCAGUUAAAGAUAAAUUCAGAAUUAUGAAACUUACGACAAUAUUUGAAUGUCACUCAGUGGUACCACUUCUUCCAGUCAGUGUUGCUAUUGUCUGUUCUCUCCAGGACUUAUUUCUACAUUUUACAUCAAUGGUUCUCCAACUGUGUUUCAUGGUCUACCAGCAUCCCUUAGGAACCAUGGCCCGCUUCAUAAAAGCCUCCUGGGUUGCCUCCUUGUUUGCAGCCUUGCCACCCCAGGCAGCCAGUGCACUGGCCUGCAGGGCCCGUCCAUAAGAGAAACUUAGUUUCCAGGGCUUUGGUAGAGGGCAAAGGUUGAUAGCAUUGAGGUUGAGAGUGGCAUCCUCUUCACUCAUGCCACCAGACAAAAAGCAGAUGCCUGGAACAGUACGGUGGAGAGCUGUUACGGUGGCCAUAGCUACUUGUUCUGGAGUAUACUUCUUGGUGCAGGCAUGUCCAGCAGUCACCAUGUUGGGCUUUAGCAGGGUGCCCUCCAGGUAAACAUGAUGGUCAUUCAGGGCCUUGUAGACAGCAG